rnacentral:rRNA from 1 species
AGCGUACGCUGGCGGUAGGCCUAACACAUGCAAGUCGAACGGCAGCACAGAGGAGCUUGCUCCUUGGGUGGCGAGUGGCGGACGGGUGAGGAAUACAUCGGAAUCUACUCUGUCGUGGGGGAUAACGUAGGGAAACUUACGCUAAUACCGCAUACGACCUACGGGUGAAAGCAGGGGAUCUUCGGACCUUGCGCGAUUGAAUGAGCCGAUGUCGGAUUAGCUAGUUGGCGGGGUAAAGGCCCACCAAGGCGACGAUCCGUAGCUGGUCUGAGAGGAUGAUCAGCCACACUGGAACUGAGACACGGUCCAGACUCCUACGGGAGGCAGCAGUGGGGAAUAUUGGACAAUGGGCGCAAGCCUGAUCCAGCCAUACCGCGUGGGUGAAGAAGGCCUUCGGGUUGUAAAGCCCUUUUGUUGGGAAAGAAAUCCAUCUGGUUAAUACCCGGGUGGGAUGACGGUACCCAAAGAAUAAGCACCGGCUAACUUCGUGCCAGCAGCCGCCGUAA